CGGUUUUAUUAAGCUAGGUUUGUGAGUACAAAUCAUUUUCUUUGCAACAGACUGUUGAAUUGACGGGCAGCAGGUCCAAACAGGAGCUGAGUACAGACAAAGCCAGAAGGCCUGAGCUGCACCGUGGAAGUCCUCACUCCUGAGAGUGCGUGAAGGAUCUACUGUAUGUUUCCCUGUGUUGACCACAUCUGAAGUCAACCAAAGAUCUGGACUUACUCUUCCAGCUUCAGCAGAUCCUUGCAGAUGAAUGGGCGUAAGGACUGGAUUGACAGGCCAUUGAUGGCCUGCCAGGGAGCUAAUUCUGUGUGUCCACUACACCCCAAAGACAAAUGAUGAAAUGGGUCGAACAAGAGUGUUUAACCCAAUCACGUUUAAAGCUCCAUGGGCACAGUGACGGGGGCUGUGACCUUAAUUAAGUGUACAAAUAAUUAGUUGACCUCAGCUAAUGAGCAUUUCCAAAAAUAACAGAGCUCUAUGGCCUCUAAUGAAUAGAUGGAUGGUCGCACUACAUCAGGAGUGUCCAAGGGCAUCGCAGGCCGAAGGUUCAAUGAGUGUCCAGGCCUGCUCUGAAAGGUAGUCUCAGUUUAUCAGUUGGCAGAGGAUGUGGUGAUAUGAAGUGAUGCAUGUGAUUUUGUUUUUGCCGUUUCUAAAACAGCUUAAAGCGUCACUGCCAAGCUGUCUCUUAUGGGGAUGAAUUGAUUGGAAAUAUGACCUGUUGUUGACAUGUUUCUGAACAAAUAAAUGGAAUUUCUCCUCGCACUCUGAAA